rnacentral:sRNA from 1 species
UUGUUGUCUGCCCUAAUUCUAAAGGGUCCUUGCAAGGCCACGACUAUUCUAAUUAAGCUUGAAGGGAAAAUAGUUGCACCUACGAAGUAUUCAUGGGUAGGUGAUAAUAAGGAGAGUUUGAUCGCCAUCACAAAGGUGGACAGACUGACAGUGGACGGAACCGGAGGAUUGAUAGACGGGUUUGGUUCUUCUUGGUGGCC